GAAGUUUCUAAGAAGUUUAUCAUUCGUGCUUUUGAGGAUUCUCCUAUACUUUAGAAACUCCUUGACAGUUGGGUCAUCACUUGGCAGAAGUGCUGCAACCAUGGAGACAGUUGAGUCUGAAUCUAAUGAGGCCACGUCUGUUUUCUGCAGCUUUGAUCCCAUCAUGCUCUCUGAUUCUGAGAACUUAAGAAAAUGAAAGCUUUGAGUGUGUCUUGAAUUGAUGCCACAACGCCUACUGGUUCCUGCUCAUCUGAUGCAUCUUUCUCUUGUUUCUGGUUUUUUGUGCCUGUUGGUUCAUCUUGAAUCAAAUCUAAGAAGUGAUUGAUGGAUCAAUGGGAGAAAAGCAUUAAAUAAAAUAUCAUGAAUGCAACUCCCACUGACAACAGUAGAUGGUAUUUAGGCAGUAGAUAGUGGUAAUAACAUGUACAAUCAAAUGCCAAGCCAAAUGGGAUAUUUCAAUUUAAAAAAUACCUGGUUCCAAAACUGGCUCUACUUGAGGAACUUGAACUGAAUCUUCACCUGCUUCCAAAACUGGCUCUACUCGAGGAACUUCUUCACCUGCUUCCAAAACUGACUCUACUCGAGGAACUUGGACUGAAUCUUCUCCUGUUCUCUGUGAUACCUGGUACCAAAACUGGCUCUACUUGAGGAACUUGAACUGAAUCUUCACCUGCUUCCAAAACUGGCUCUACUCAAGGAACUUCUUCACCUGCUUCCAAAACUGGCUCUACUCGAGGAACUUCUUCACCUGCUUCCAAAACUGGCUCUACUCGAGGAACUUCUUCACCUGCUUCCAAAACUGGCUCUACUCGAGGAACUUGGACUGAAUCUUCUCCUGUUCUCUGUGAGCGGCAGAAUCAGUUCCGAUGCUUUGCAGUCCUGGACACACUUCCUCCAGUCCUCUGCCAGGAGCAUUUGUAGGUCCUUGUUAGACGAGGAGCGAAA